GAGCGUGAAACAACUGUCAGAUAUCUUAGGCCUGCUUAUCUAGGUUAGAAAACUUAUUGUGAGGCCUAGUUUGCUUCAAAUCUCCCUGACUGAAAGUGCAACAAUGGACAUGAGACUUUUUCCACCUUGUUUAUCCUUAGAGUGUGAAGUUAGUAAUCAGUGGAAACAACAGAAUUGCAGAAAAGAGUAGAUCUGGAGGGGAGAACAUGCCCCAGCAUUGCAAGAAGCUGUUUCAGGAAGAGUGGAAACUACAUAGAGUAUAUCAUGCCUCAUCAAAUCUGCCAAGUUUAAUCUGCCAUUACAGAGAGAGAGCUGGCUAAGGGUGCAGCUCUACCAUUAAGGAAGAAGCAAGAGCGGAAGAAGCAGCAGGUGUCACAGAAUCUUUCUGCUCCUCAUUAAAACGUUGAAACCAGUGCAUGAAAAGGACACCACCUGGUUAGACAACUGUCAAUAUUGAUGCCAUCAAAACUGGACGUCACUGUCAGCUCACUGUCAGAGAGAAUUUGGAGAACUAAGGGAGGCCACUUGAUGGAAUGUGUUUAGUUCAAAGUUCUGAACAUGGAAGCAGAUGCUUGCCUCUGGAGAUAUCUCAUCCUGAUAGUAAAGGGUCAUGCAGAUAAAUAUUAUGUGAGUACAUUAUUUUCAUACAAAGAAAAAGUCUCAUAUGUGGAACACAAAACAAAAGACCCAGGGACAACUCCAAAGCUGAAUACAGAAGUUGCCAGGAGUCCAGGUGCUGCUGCUGGAAUUAUUUUUCCUGCCUUGGCUUCUGAGACUACAAUGACAGAACAUUCCCUAUAUGUGACUAUGCAUGGUGACCCCCACUGGUGAAAAACAUGGAGAAGAAGUGGAGUGCUUUGAUCAUUUUAUUAAAAAGAGAAAAACAUCUUUCUUUAAUCUGAAGAUUGAAACGAUACCUCAGGGGCAGUGGGGCUUACUUGGUAUUUUGUAGAAGCAGAACACUCAAAGGAAAUCAUUUUGACUACAAUGAUCUCGCUCUCUGAUCACAUUUAUAGUAAGUUGUUUUUCUGUGAAAUUCCUUAUUGGUCUGGUUCCUUGGCCAACUUCCAAAA